rnacentral:rRNA from 1 species
GAACGGACGAGAAGCUUGCUUCUCUGAUGUUAGCGGCGGACGGGUGAGUAACACGUGGAUAACCUACCUAUAAGACUGGGAUAACUUCGGGAAACCGGAGCUAAUACCGGAUAAUAUUUUGAACCGCAUGGUUCAAAAGUAAAAGACGGUCUUGCUGUCACUUAUAGAUGGAUCCGCGCUGCAUUAGCUAGUUGGUAAGGUAACGGCUUACCAAGGCAACGAUGCAUAGCCGACCUGAGAGGGUGAUCGGCCACACUGGAACUGAGACACGGUCCAGACUCCUACGGGAGGCAGCAGUAGGGAAUCUUCCGCAAUGGGCGAAAGCCUGACGGAGCAACGCCGCGUGAGUGAUGAAGGUCUUCGGAUCGUAAAACUCUGUUAUUAGGGAAGAACAUAUGUGUAAGUAACUGUGCACAUCUUGACGGUACCUAAUCAGAAAGCCACGGCUAACUACGUGCCAGCAGCCGCGGUAAUACGUAGGUGGCAAGCGUUAUCCGGAAUUAUUGGGCGUAAAGCGCGCGUAGGCGGUUUUUUAAGUCUGAUGUGAAAGCCCACGGCUCAACCGUGGAGGGUCAUUGGAAACUGGAAAACUUGAGUGCAGAAGAGGAAAGUGGAAUUCCAUGUGUAGCGGUGAAAUGCGCAGAGAUAUGGAGGAACACCAGUGGCGAAGGCGACUUUC